AUUGAACGCUGGCGGCAUGCCUUACACAUGCAAGUCGAACGGCAGCACGGGCUUCGGUCUGGUGGCGAGUGGCGAACGGGUGAGUAAAGCAUCGGAACGUACCCGGAAGUGGGGGAUAACGUAGCGAAAGUUACGCUAAUACCGCAUAUUCUGUGCGCAGGAAAGAGGGGGAUCUUCGGACCUCUUGCUUUCGGAGCGGCCGAUGUCAGAUUAGCUAGUUGGUGGGGGAAAGGCCUACCAAGGCGACGAUCUGUAGCGGGUCUGGGAGGAUGAACCGCCACACUGGGAAUGAGACAAGGCCCAAACUCCUACGGGAGGCAGCAGUGGGGAAUUUGGGACAAUGGGCGCAAGCCUGAUCCAGCCAUGCCGCGUGAGUGAAGAAGGCCUUCGGGUUGUAAAGCUCUUUCGGCCGGGAAGAAAUCGCACCAGUUAAUACCUGGUGUGGAUGACGGUACCGGAAUAAGAAGCACCGGCUAACUACGUGCCAGCAGCCGCAGUAACAC
rnacentral:rRNA from 1 species